rnacentral:rRNA from 1 species
UGGGGAAUAUUGCACAAUGGGCGCAAGCCUGAUGCAGCCAUGCCGCGUGUGUGAAGAAGGCCUUCGGGUUGUAAAGCACUUUCAGCGAGGAGGAAGGUGGUGAGCUUAAUACGCUCAUCAAUUGACGUUACUCGCAGAAGAAGCACCGGCUAACUCCGUGCCAGCAGCCGCGGUAAUACGGAGGGUGCAAGCGUUAAUCGGAAUUACUGGGCGUAAAGCGCACGCAGGCGGUUUGUUAAGUCAGAUGUGAAAUCCCCGGGCUCAACCUGGGAACUGCAUUUGAAACUGGCAAGCUAGAGUCUCGUAGAGGGGGGUAGAAUUCCAGGUGUAGCGGUGAAAUGCGUAGAGAUCUGGAGGAAUACCGGUGGCGAAGGCGGCCCCCCUGGACGAAGACUGACGCUCAGGUGCGAAAGCGUGGGGCAGCAAACAGGAUUAGAUACCCCUGGUAGUCCACGCUGUAAAACGAUGUCGAUUUGGAGGUUGUGCCCUUGAGGCGUGGCUUCCGGAGCUAACGCGUUAAAUCGA